rnacentral:rRNA from 1 species
UACGUAGGGUGCAAGCGUUAAUCGGAAUUACUGGGCGUAAAGCGCGCGUAGGCGGCUUUGUAAGUUAGAGGUGAAAGCCCGGAGCUCAACUCCGGAACUGCCUUUAAGACUGCAUCGCUAGAAUUGUGGAGAGGUGAGUGGAAUUCCGAGUGUAGAGGUGAAAUUCGUAGAUAUUCGGAAGAACACCAGUGGCGAAGGCGACUCACUGGACACAUAUUGACGCUGAGGUGCGAAAGCGUGGGGAGCAAACAGG